rnacentral:pre_miRNA from 1 species
UUUAUAUGAUGUUGUUGACUUUUGGAUCAAUGUUUGCCCGUUCGUCUUAUUUAAAAAAAUAUAUGAUUAUUACUUAUUUUGUUAUAACUUGCUCUACCAUUAUAGGAACUUUAAGUAUGACUUAUAAUUUUGUAUAUUCGAAUAAAAUUUUUGAAUAAGAUGAACAGUCAAAUAUAGAUCUAAAAGUCAAUGGCGUCACAUAAG